UACGAAGGGGGCUAGCGUUGCUCGGAAUCACUGGGCGUAAAGCGCACGUAGGCGGGUCUUUAAGUCAGGGGUGAAAUCCCGGAGCUCAACUCCGGAACUGCCUUUGAUACUGGAGAUCUUGAGUCCGGGAGAGGUGAGUGGAACUCCGAGUGUAGAGGUGAAAUUCGUAGAUAUUCGCAAGAACACCAGUGGCGAAGGCGGCUCACUGGCCCGAUACUGACGCUGAGGCACGAAAGCGUGGGGAGCAAACAGG
rnacentral:rRNA from 1 species